rnacentral:rRNA from 1 species
AACGAACGCUUGCGGCGCGCCUAAUACAUGCAAGUCGAACGAGAAAGUAGCUUCGGUUACGAGUACAGUGGCGGACGGGUGAGGAACGCGUGGAUAACCUGCCCUUAAGCGGGGGAUAACUACUCGAAAGAGUAGCUAAUACCGCAUAACAUUGCGACUUCUGCGGAAGAUGCAAUUAAAGGCUUCGGCCACUUAAGGAUGGGUCCGCGUCCGAUUAGCUUGUUGGUGGGGUAAAGGCCUACCAAGGCUACGAUCGGUAGCUGGUCUCAGAGGAUGAUCAGCCACACUGGAACUGAGACACGGUCCAGACUCCUACGGGAGGCAGCAGUAGGGAAUAUUGCACAAUGGAGGAAACUCUGAUGCAGCGACGCCGCGUGAGUGAUGAAGGCCUUCGGGUUGUAAAGCUCUGUGAUAGGGGAAGAUAAUGACGGUACCCUAUCAGAAAGGACCGGCUAACUUCG